rnacentral:lncRNA from 1 species
CAAUAUUUAUUUAAAGGGUGGUGCGGGUUUAUCGUCCACGCCUUUGCUUUUAUUUAAAUGUAUGGAGCAGAAUUAGUGCCCAUACAAGCACGUUUACUUUACCGCACAUUUAAUUUUAUUUAAGGUAUGGUGCGGGAUUAACGUCCAUACAGCAAGCUUUUAAUUUUAUUUAAGGUAUGGUGCGGGAUUUACGUCCAUACAGCAAGCAAUUUAAUUUAUGAAUUUAAUUUACUGCACAUUUACAUUUAUUUAAAAGGGUGGUGCGGGUUUAUCGUCCACGCCUUUACUUUUAUUUAAAUGUAUGGUGCGGGUUUAUCGUCCAUACCAGUAAUUUAUUUACCAGCAAUUUAUUUUAUGGAUUAAUUGUGCUGUAUGAUGAGUUUUUACAGUAUGCAGAUCAGGACCAGAAGUUCCUUGAUCCUCAUCAUACAAUUACAUCAGGACUUGAAGAUCCUUGAUGAUGAUAUUAAUAUGAGAGCUGGCAGUCUCUCCGGUACUGUAUUUGUAAACAUGUGAUCGAAAUUAAGGGUCCUUGAUCCCUGACAUGUAAAUAAGGACCUAGAGUUCCUUAAUGAUGUAACAGUACCGUAUUGGUUCAUAGUGCCGUACACAUUGAUGAUAACUGUACUGGCAGAUGAAUAGAUACGUAUUCAUGACUUGAUGAAUAGUACUAUUCACAUGAAUAGUGACGUAUGCAUAAAUAUGAACCAUUUUGGGUAAACCGUCACUAUAUACAAAAGGGAACCUGCAGUUUCAUAGUGCCGUACACAUUGAUGAUAACUGUACUGGCAGAUGAAUAGAUACGUAUUCAUGACUUGAUGAAUAGUACUAUUUACAUGAAUAGUGACGUAUGC